rnacentral:rRNA from 1 species
CCUACGGGUGGCAGCAGUAGGGAAUCUUCCGCAAUGGACGAAAGUCUGACGGAGCAACGCCGCGUGAGCGAAGAAGGCCUUCGGGUCGUAAAGCUCUGUUGUUAGGGAAGAACAAGUACCGCAGUCACUGGCGGUACCUUGACGGUACCUAACGAGGAAGCCACGGCUAACUACGUGCCAGCAGCCGCGGUAAUACGUAGGUGGCAAGCGUUGUCCGGAAAUAUUGGGCGUAAAGCGCGCGCAGGCGGUUCCUUAAAUCUGAAGUGAAAGCCCACGGCUCAAACGUGGAGGGUCAUUGGAAACUGGGGGACUUAAGAGAGGCAGAGGAUAGCGGAUUGCCACGUGUGGCGGUGAUGUGCGUAGAGGUGUGGAGGAACUCCAUGGGCGAGGGCGGCUCUCUGGUCUGUAACUGACGCUGAGGCGCGAAAGCGUGGGUAGCAAACAGGAUUAGAUACCCGAUUAGUC